UGAGACCUACGGGGCGCAGCAGUGAGGAAUAUUGGUCAAUGGGCGGGAGCCUGAACCAGCCACGUCGCGUGAGGGAAGACGGUCCUAUGGAUUGUAAACCUCUUUAGGCGGGGAGCAAUGCCGGGCACGCGUGCCCGGAGGGAGAGUACCCGCAGAAUAAGCAUCGGCUAACUCCGUGCCAGCAGCCGCGGUAAUACGGAGGAUCCGAGCGUUAUCCGGAUUUAUUGGGUUUAAAGGGAGCGUAGGUGGAUUGUUAAGUCAGUUGUGAAAGUUUGCGGCUCAACCGUAAAAUUGCAGUUGAAACU
rnacentral:rRNA from 1 species